UGCCAGCAGCCGCGGUAAUACGGAGGGUGCAAGCGUUAAUCGGAAUUACUGGGCGUAAAGCGUGCGUAGGCGGUGAUUUAAGUCAGAUGUGAAAGCCCCGGGCUUAACCUGGGAACGGCAUUUGAUACUGGGUCACUUGAGUGUGGUAGAGGAGAGCGGAAUUUCCGGUGUAGCGGUGAAAUGCGUAGAUAUCGGAAGGAACACCAGUGGCGAAGGCGGCUCUCUGGACCAACACUGACGCUGAGGUACGAAAGCGUGGGUAGCAAACAGGAUUAGAUACCCUGGUAGUCCACGCCGUAAACGAUGUCAACUAGCCGUUGGGCCUUUCAAAAGGCUUCGUGGCGCAGCUAACGCAAUAAGUUGACCGCCUGGGGAGUACGGCCGCAAGGUUAAAACUCAAAUGAAUUGACGGGGGCCCGCACA
rnacentral:rRNA from 1 species